UUCAUACCAGUUUUGAUGAAACUUUCGGCAAAAUGGGGUUUCUUCGUCCGACAACUGUUUUUGAUGAUUCUUUCGCCGAUUUUUUAAAAAUUCGAUCCUCUAUCAUUCUAAGACUUCAAUUCAAGAUCUUACAUGCUAUUGGAAUGGAGAAGUGAAGGAUUUGGAAGGUUAAGCAACGGGAUAUUUUAUAUUUGCUUUUAAAAAUUUGAUUAAGCGAUCGAGUGUUUUCUUUCAGGAUUAACAUAUGACAAUGUGGUCGAGCUUCCAUUCGUUGUUUCAGAAGUUUCAUUUAUGGGAGGUCUUAUUCUUCUUAGAGCUCCAGUAGUCAUGAUAGUAGACCUAGCUAGUAGCAGACGAUUUAUGUUUAUAUUAUGCCCUGCUAAAAUGAUGUAUUUUGGGAAAAUAAAUUAUCCAGGGAUUUAAUAUAUGGUUAAUUGGUAUUUUAUACAGAGUGGUUUGUGUCUUUUCACAGGUGUGGUUUAUUAAGUUUACAGGCGUUAUAUUGCCGAUUUUUCGAAAA